GAUGAACGCUGGCGGCGUGCCUAAUACAUGCCAGUCGAGCGAACAGAUGAGGAGCUUGCUCCUCUGACGUUAGCGGCGGACGGGUGAGUAACACGUGGAUAACCUACCUAUAAGACUGGGAUAACUACGGGAAACCGGAGCUAAUACCGGAUAAUAUAUUGAACCGCAUGGUUCAAUAGUGAAAGACGGUUUUGCUGUCACUUAUAGAUGGAUCCGCGCCGCAUUAGCUAGUUGGUAAGGUAACGGCUUACCAAGGCAACGAUGCGUAGCCGACCUGAGAGGAGGAUCGGCCACACUAGAACUGAGACAAGGUCCAGACUCCUACGGGAGGCAGCAGUAGGGAAUCUUCCGCAAUGGGCGAAAGCCUGGCGGAGCAACGCCGCGUGAGUGAUGAAGGUCUUCGGAUCGUAAAACUCUGUUAUUAGGGAAGAACAAAUGUGUAAGUAACUAUGCACGUCCUGACGGUACCUAAUCAGAAAGCCACGGCUAACUACGUG
rnacentral:rRNA from 1 species